CUUCAGCCUUCAGCUUUCAGCUCUUCAGCCUUCAACCUUCAACCCGCAGCAGAGUCCUCGCUGUCGGCGGACGGGAGAUGGGCUGAGGCGGAGCGGGACCAACCCAGGCGGUUACUGAGGCCACGAACUCGGGUUUCCUUGCUCCUCUUUGCCUCCGCCCCCUCUCCGUUUUUGGGCCCGCGCAGGCCAGGGAAUGUCCCGGCGGCGCCAUGCCUUACGUGGACCGACAGAACCGCAUCUGUGGCUUCCUGGACAUCGAGGAGAACGAGAGCAGUGGCAAGUUCCUGCGCCGCUACUUCAUACUGGACACCCAGCAGGGGAGCCUGGUGUGGUUCAUGGACAACCCGCAGAAUCUCCCGGUGGGUGCAGACUGUGUGGGCUCCUUGAAACUCACUUACAUAUCUAAGGUCAGCGAUGCAACCAAGCUGAGGCCUAAGGCAGAGUUCUGCUUUGUCAUCAAUGCCGGGAUGAGGAAGUACUUCCUGCAGGCCAAUGAUCAGCAGGACCUGGUGGACUGGGUCAACGCUCUCAAUAAAGCCACCAAGAUCACGGUUCCAAAAGUGUCCGACGGCCAGCAGAACUCCGAGAGCCACAAGUCUUUGCAGGACACGGUAGGACCCAAGAAGCAAGUGUCCUAUAAGACGGAGAUCAUAGGAGGAGUUCCCAUUGUGACCCAGACGCAGCAUGAAGGCAGCGAUGGUGCAGAGAGGGCAGAGCGGGAGGCCAUGCACCGCUCACACAGCCAGCUGCCCUACUUCCUGGGCAGGCCGUCCCAGGACCACACCGUCAUCAAGUCGGGCUACUGCGUCAAGCAAGGCGCUGUGAUGAGGAACUGGAAGCGACGAUAUUUCCUCCUGGAGGAAAACUCAAUGAGCUACUUCAAGUCCGAUCUGGAGAAAGAGCCGCUGAGGAUGAUCCCGCUGAAGGAGGUUCACAAAGUGCAGGAGUGCAAACAAAGUGACAUCAUGAUGCGCGACAAUCUGUUUGAAGUCGUCACCACAUCAAGGACAUUUUACAUACAGGCCGACAGUCCGGAGGAGAUGCACAGCUGGAUCAAGGCGGUCUCGGGGGCCAUUGUGGCCCAGCGGGGGCCGGGGAGGUCCGCUGCCACAGAGCACAGCGGGCGCUCCACAUUCUACCGCAGCUCCGCGGGGCCCCCCGUCCCUCGCUCGCCCGUAUCCGCCGUGCCACCCUGCCAGCCAGAGCGGGGGGUCGCCCUUGCGUGCGACCCACGCCCGCAGCCUGGCGUGGGACAGCGAGCAUUUCAUGAGCCUGCUGCCUCGGCCCGCUCGCAGCCGCACGCCGGCCCGCCUCUCCUUGCAGGAGGCCCGUCUGGCAAAGUGAGCGCCCGGGAGGAGUCGCCGUGGCGGCGGCGGAGCGCCUUCGAGCCGCAUGUGCCCGAGCCGCCCUUGGAUUUGGACGAGGCCGACCUGCCGGUGAGCGAGGUCUGAGCUGGACUUGUAACCGUAAUGGCGGACACAAAGACCCUAGAAGCUCCUGGUGCCGUGCUAGUUCUCCUCCACUCAACUGUGCUUGUGUGCCAAAGACCAGACCGUCUUCUUAGUUACCAUGGCGACCGAUGGAGACUUUUCAAGGUCAGACAACUUGCCCUCGCUUCUCUUCACUUCCACUAGCUGUGCUGAUGCUCUUCCUACUUCAGUCCACUCAUUGCGGAGAAAUAGUUCCAGGCUAGGAGGAGGAGGUUUUCUUCACAAUAAAACAGGCCAGGAAGAGGAGGUUUUCUUCACAAUAAAACAGGCUAGAAGGAAGAGGUUUUCUUCACAAUAAAACAGGCUAGAAGAAGGAGGUUUUCUUCACAAUAAAACAGGCUAGAAGGAAGAGGUUUUCUUCACAAUAAAACAGGCUAGAAGAAGGAGGUUUUCUUCACAAUAAAACAGGCCAGGAGGAGGUUUUCUUCACAAUAAAACAGGCUAGAAGGAGGUUCUCUUCACAAUAAAACAGACUAAAAGAAGCAAGAGGAGGUUUUCUUCACAAUAAAACAGACUAGAAGAAGCAAGCAGUGAUUUUCUUCACAAUAAAACAGGCUAGGAGGAGGAGGUUUUCUUCACAAUAAAACAGACUAAAAGAAGCAAGAGGAGGUUUUCUUCACAAUAAAACAGCAAGCAGAGGUUUUCUUUACAAUAAAACAGACUAGAAGAAGCAAGCUGAGGUUUUCUCCACAAUAAAACAGACGUGAAGCAAGCGGUGGUUUUCUUCACAAUAAAACAGGCUAGAAGGAGGUUUUCUUCCCAAUAAAACAGACUAGAAGAAGCAAGCGGAGGUUAUCUUCACAAUUAAAACAGACUAGAAGCAAGCUGAGGUUUUCUUCACAAUAAAACAGACUAGAAGCAAGCUGAGGUUUUCUUCACAAUAAAACAGACUAGAAACAAGCUGAGGUUUUCUUCACAAUAAAACAGACUAGAAGAAGCAAGCGGAGGUUUUCUUCACAAUAAAACAGAAUAGAAGAAGCAAGCGGAGGUUUUCUUCACAAUAAAACAGACUAGAAGAAGCAAGCGGAGGUUUUCUUCACAAUAAAACAGCAAGCAGAGGUUUUCUUCACAGUAAAACAGCAAGCAGAGGUUUUCUUCACAAUAAAACAGCAAGCAGAGGUUUUCUUCACAGUAAAACAGCAAGCAGAGGUUUUCUUCACAAUAAAACAGACUAGAAGAAGCAAGCGGAGGUUUUCUUCACAAUAAAACAGCAAGCAGAGGUUUUCUUCACAGUAAAACAGCAAGCAGAGGUUUUCUUCACAAUGAAACAGCAAGCAGAGGUUUUCUUCACAGUAAAACAGCAAGCAGAGGUUUUCUUCACAGUAAAACAGCAAGCAGAGGUUUUCUUCACAAUGAAACAGCAAGCAGAGGUUUUCUUCACAGUAAAACAGCAAGCAGAGGUUUUCUUCACAGUAAAACAGCAAGCAGAGGUUUUCUUCACAAUAAAACAGCAAGCAGAGGUUUUCUUCACAAUAAAACAGCAAGCAGAGAUUUUCUUCACAAUAAAACCGACUAGAAGAAGCAAGCAGAGGUUUUCUUCACAAGUAAACAGCAAGCAGAGGUUUUCUUCACAAUAAAACAGACAAGAAGAAGCAAGCAGAGGUUUUCUUCACAAUAAAACAGACAAGAAGAAGCAAGCAGAAGUUUUCUUCACAAUAAAACAGACACUGACAUCCAACUGGUGGCGUGUUGAGGACAGUUCCACCCCUCUAUCUCAGAAGUUAGAGUAAGUUGUGUUGUAUUAUUGUAUUAUUCCCGACCUGAGGAGCCAGUGCAGCUAUCAGAAGUGAAGAGAAGGUGCAGGUGGUGUGACUUCAGUGACCACUAAGUGCCAAGAAGAAAAGGGACCAUGUCUCCCAGGACUGGACUGAAUAAGCUGAGUGCUUCUUACACUCCUUAACACUGGAUUUCAUUUACCUGCCAGUCUUUUCCUUUUGGACACCUGCAAUCAGGCAUCAUAUCAAUGUGUGUGUGGCGGCCAUCUUUGAUUUUCUAACAUGCACUCAGAGCCUGUACGGUACAACAUGGCGUCACUUGAAACUCUCCUGUUUUUUUUGAGGGGUGGGCAUCCUAAUCAAUGACUUGAUUGAUUGGAAAGUUGGGAAUUGCAACCAUCCAUUUGUGCAAGGACUGUUGAAGAUUGAGUUGAGACAGAGUGCACUACUAUGCACCAACCAGCAGAGGCGCUGUUUGCUGGCUAAAGAUGGUUAACGGCUGAGCCAGUAAUGGAAGAAUUGUUCAGACUACAAGAUGAUUACAGGGAUUGUGUGCACAUCCCUACUCACUAUUUCUACAUCCUCUGUGUGUGUGUGUGUGUGUGUGUGUGUGUGUUGUGUUUGCAGACUCAAGUGAUUUAUAGGACAUUUGUAAACACAAUAUAGUCAAUGUGUUCCAGUAGCAGGCAGUUGCCAAACAAAUGUACAGUACUCACUAAACACCCGGAUUCAUUCCACAUCCAAGCUAUUUGAACCUGCUCCAAUCUGGUGUCAUUGCUCUGAGAUCUAUUUAUUAUGUGGAGGAAAUAAACCCUUGAACAUG